CGGGGAAUUUUGCGCAAUGGGCGAAAGCCUGACGCAGCAACGCCGCGUGAGUGAUGAAGGCUCUUGGGUCGUAAAGCUCUGACAGAGGGAAAGAAAUGCAAGGUGGCUAAUAUCCAUUUUGCUUGACGGUACCCUCAAAGGAAGCACCGGCUAACCCCGUGCCAGCAGCCGCGGUAAUACGGAGGGUGCGAGCGUUGUUCGGAUUUAUUGGGCGUAAAGCGCGUGUAGGCGGUUUUAUAAGUCUGAUGUGAAAGCCCCGGGCUCAACCUGGGAAGUGCAUUGGAUACUGUAAGACCUGAAUACGGGAGAGGGCAGUGGAAUUCCUGGUGUAGGAGUGAAAUCCGUAGAUAUCAGGAGGAACACCGGUGGCGAAGGCGGCUGCCUGGACCGAUAUUGACGCUGAGACGCGAAAGCGUGGGUAGCAAACAGGAUUAGAUACCCUGGUAGUCCACGCCGUAAACGAUGAGUACUAGGUGUUGCGGGUAUUGA
rnacentral:rRNA from 1 species